UACGUAGGGCGCGAGCGUUGUCCGGAAUUACUGGGCGUAAAGCGCUCGUAGGCGGCUUGUCGCGUCCGCUGUGAAAUCCCGGGGCUUAACCCCGGGCCUGCAGUGGAUACGGGCAGGCUGGAGGGAGGCAGGGGAGAACGGAAUUCCCGGUGUAGCGGUGAAAUGCGCAGAUAUCGGGAGGAACACCGGUGGCGAAGGCGGUUCUCUGGGCCUGUACUGACGCUGAGGAGCGAAAGCGUGGGGAGCGAACAGG
rnacentral:rRNA from 1 species